AAAAAAAGGAAUAUAGAAAACCUUAACUAGACCUUCAUGUUCACGAAAUGAUACAGGAAACUAUGAAGAAAGCUUCUUACCAGGUGAAAAAUCUUGAAAGAAAGACAUGGGUUUUCCUUAUUUUUCUUUUGUAAGGAAAU